rnacentral:rRNA from 1 species
GACGUAGGGCGCGAGCGUUGUCCGGAUUUAUUGGGCGUAAAGAGCUCGUAGGCGGCUUGUCGCGUCAACUGUGAAAAACCCGUGGCUCAACCAUGUGGUCUGCAGUCGAUACGGGCAGGCUAGAAUUCGGUAGGGGAGACUGGAAUUCCUGGUGUAGCGGUGAAAUGCGCAGAUAUCAGGAGGAACACCGGUGGCGAAGGCGGGUCUCUGGGCCGAUAUUGACGCUGAGGAGCGAAAGCGUGGGGAGCGAACAGG